AUAAGAUGUCCUCUGCUCUGAGAAUCUAUGUGGAAAUUGAGGCAUGCGUGAAGUCUACCCACUGGGAUAAAGCAGGUUCCCUGCUGACAAGUGCAAAACAAAGCACGACCGUGAAAAGUGGAUUGGAGGUGAAAAUACUUGAUGGAAGCCCACACUAGUGAGAAAACUCAGGAAGCGGGUUCUGCGGAAAGAUUAAACCCAGUCUCCAUUCUCCAUGCGCCAGAGGUGAGGUGGAGAGCAGAACUGAGACAGAUGAGAAUAAUGAAGAGUUUCAGUGACAGAGGCUGAGAACUCCCUCUCCCUUAUUUCCUGUAUUUCCACCGCAUCCUCCCUUGAAACCAUUUCAGGAGCAUUUUGUCCUGCUGGCCACGUGUCAUGGGAAUAGACACAAGAACCAGCAAACAUUCCAGUAUGUUCCCUGCCAAAGGGAGGGACUCUGCAAUUUUGUCAAGAUGAUGCUACGACAAUGAGAUGGAGCAUUUCACCUGCAGUUAUUAAUUACCUGGCAUGUUUCACAAAACUGAUCAACUUUGCAUGGCAUGGUCUGCGUAAACAGCCAAGAUCCAUCUUUCAUUCCCUUUUAACUCUGGGAUUUACAGGAGAAUAGAUGCCAAAAUGCACAUCCCGUGACAAUGGCUUCCAGACCCAGCACUUGAAGGGUUCUUGGUUGACCCGGGGUGCAGGGCACAGUGCUGGUACCACCUCUGGGGAGGACCCGGGAAGGUCAGAGCUUCCUUGUUUAGGGGCCAGAUGUUUGCAAUGUAAAGAAACUUAUG